AACGCACCUUGCGCCCUCUGGUAUUCCGGAGGGCAUGCCUGUUUGAGUGUCAUUAAAUUCUCAACUUCAAUAGUUUGUAAUGAACUCAUUGAAGCUUGGACGUGGAGGCUUGCUGGCGUCUCAGAUGUUCGGCUCCUCUUAAAUGCAUUAGUGGAUCCCGUUAGUUGGACUACAACUUUGGUGUGAUAAUUAUCUACACUUUGGUUCGUUCAACAGCUCUAUGAACACCUUUUCAGAGGCACUAGUGUUUCUGGUUUGGGUUUUGCAUUACUGAUGCUUUACCUGGUUCAUUAGAGUAGGGUUUAUCUGCUUUCAAACCGUCUGUGAAUGCGGACAAUGACAAUGACUAUUUGACCUCAAAUCAGGUAGGACUACCCGCUGAACUUAA
rnacentral:misc_RNA from 1 species